CCAGCCUUCUGAAAGGAAGAUUAAUCCAGGAUGGCAUCAUGAGUUCACAUGUCCGCAUGAUUAAAGGUAUUUUCCGGUAGACGAUGGGGAUGCGUUCCAUUAGAUAGUAGGCGGGGUAACGGCCCACCUAGUCAACGAUGGAUAGGGGUUCUGAGAGGAAGGUCCCCCACAUUGGAACUGAGACACGGUCCAAACUCCUACGGGAGGCAGCAGUGAGGAAUAUUGGUCAAUGGGCGAUGGCCUGAACCAGCCAAGUAGCGUGAAGGAUGACUGCCCUAUGGGUUGUAAACUUCUUUUAUAAAGGAAUAAAGUCGGGUAUGCAUACCCGUUUGCAUGUACUUUAUGAAUAAGGAUCGGCUAACUCCGUGCCAGCAGCCGCGGUAAUACGGAGGAUCCGAGCGUUAUCCGGAUUUAUUGGGUUUAAAGGGAGCGUAGAUGGAUGUUUAAGUCAGUUGUGAAAGUUUGCGGCUCAACCGUAAAAUUGCAGUUGAUACUGGAUGUCUUGAGUGCAGUUGAGGCAGGCGGAAUUCGUGGUGUAGCGGUGAAAUGCUUAGAUAUCACGAAGAACUCCGAUUGCGAAGGCAGCCUGCUAAGCUGCAACUGACAUUGAGGCUCGAAAGUGUGGGUAUCAAACAGGAUUAGAUACCCUGGUAGUCCACACGGUAAAC
rnacentral:rRNA from 1 species